rnacentral:rRNA from 1 species
CUCAUAGCGUAUAUUAAGUUGUUGCAGUUAAAACGCUCGUAGUCGGAUUUCGGGGCGGGCUGCUCGGUCUGCCGAUGGGUAUGCACUGGGUGGCGCGUCCUUCCUUCCGGAGACCGCGCCUUCUCUUAACUGAGCGGGCGCGGGAGACGGAACGUUUACCUUGAAAAAAUCAGAGUGUUUCAAGCAGGCAUCUCGCUCUUGCAUGGAUUAGCAUGGGAUAAUGAAAUAGGACUUUGGUGCUAUUUUGUUGGUUUCGAACACCGAAGUAAUGAUUAACAGAGACAGUCAGGGGCACUCGUAUUCCGUCGAGAGAGGUGAAAUUCUCAGACCAACGGAAGACGAACCACUGCGAAAGCAUUUGCCAGGGAUGUUUUCACUGAUCAAGAACGAAAGUUAGGGGAUCGAAGACGAUCAGAUACCGUCGUAGUCUUAACCAUAAACCAUGCCGACUAGGGAUUCGAGGGUGUUCCAUCUGUGACCCCUUGAGCACCUUUCGGGAAACUAAAGUCUUUGGGUUCCGGGGGGAGUAUGGUCGCAAGGCUGAAACUUAAAGGAAUUGACGGAAGGGCACCACCAGGAGUGGAGCCUGCGGCUUAAUUUGACUCAACACGGGGAAACUUACCAGGUCCAGACAUUGUGAGGAUUGACAGAUUGAGAGCUCU